AUAAUAAACAAAUAAACAAAGGAUAUGGUUCUUACAAUAUAAGAGAUAAAUAAAAUUCUACUUGUUGCAAGUUUAGGAGAAAAAUAUGACUAAAAUUAUUAAGUUUGUUCAUGUGAUGAUCCUCUUUAUUUUGUUAUUUUUUGUUGUAACUAACGUUAAUGGAAAGUGGCCAAGUUGCAAAGAAGCUAUUGAUUGUGGAAUAAACUUUUGCAUUCGUCCUUUCAAAGCAAAAUGCAUGAUGUUCACUUGUUUUUGUGUUCAAAAUCCAUGAUGUUCCAAAUUGUAUGUCACUUUAGAAAAAAUAUUUAUCUCAAAUUGUAUGUCACUUUAGAAUAUUAAUGAAAUAUUAGUGUUAUCUUUUCUAUUAUAUCCUUAA